CCCUCCCCUCCCCUAACCCAUAUCCCCUAAGGCAGUCAGGGCAGGUGGGGCAGGGCAGGGCUGGCUGCAACAGCACUGGCCUGGCGGUCUCCAUUGAAAGGCUUUGGUUCUCUUUUCCUUUGCAGCAGGAGGGACCAGCAGCAGUGCGAGAAAGAGGUGGCUGCCCUGGGCCUUUGCUCUGCAGCAGGGCCCCUCUGGGGCUGCCCAGGUCCCGGGGCAGGAGGACUCUGGCUGCAGCAGGGCACUCCUUGGGCAGCCCCUGGCAGCCUCGGUGUGGAGGAGGCACAAUGCCUCAGCCCAUACAGGUAAGGCAGCCUGAACCAGAACUGCCCAUCCCUGCAUCCAGUUGCUGCGCAGCCAGUGUCUGCACAAGCACCACUGAGCUCCUCAACCAUGUCUCAGCCUUCUGCUGCCAUUCUCUCGGCAGCAGGAGACAGGGAGCCCAGAGGGCAGAGCUCUGGCCCCAGCCACUGUUCUUGUACCAGGGCACCUCCUCACACGCGUCCCUGCCCUCCUGCCUCUCCUGCAGGAGCUGCUGGCUGUCCUGCACAAGGAAGGGCCCACAACGCAUCUUUCACAAAGUUGCUGGUGCAGUUCAGGAGCUAGAGCAGGCUCUGGACCGUGCUUGUGGUCAUGGUAAGCCAGGUCAUGCUGGUUCUGGCCAUUGUCUUCAAGGUGAGCCUUCCUGACCUAGCGCUGCAGAGGCUCCUGCCUGGGCCACCAUGCUCCAAGGCUCACUGGCAGCCCUUGGUCUUGCAGGCUUCCUGAGAAGCAUCCCUGCCAAGCUCCUCACCUAUGAGGGCUGGAUGGCAGACAUGCAGAUGGCCAGCAGGGAGAACAAGAUCUCUCAGCUGAAAGUGUAAGCAUGAGCAGCAAGCAUUGCUAGAAACCUGGCACUCGCCUGAAAGGGGACACUCUCAUGAAGAGGCUCUGUUCUUGGGCAGCUCCCUCUUGCCGACCUGCAGUCCCAUUGCGGGGCAAUGCACAGGGAGCCUUCACACACAUCAGCCAGCACAUGUCCACCAGCCUCAUGACCUGCAGCAACCUGGCCAUCUGCCUGGGGCCAAACCUGCUAAGCACACCACAGGAGGAGCAACUGGAGCUCUGGCACGUGUUGCCAAAAACGACUGGAUGCAGUGCUCAACCAUGGUGACAAGGGCUGCUUAGCACACUCUCAGGCCCUUGGGCUGAGAGCAAGGCUUUGCCGUGCACAGGUGAAGGUGCUGGUGGACUUCAUGAUGGAGAACGUGGAACGAUAUCUUUGGUAGGAGACUGCUGGCCCAGAGGACUCACAAGCGCCCACAGAGAUAUGCACAGAGCUGCACUGGGAAGAGCAAAGUGGCCCUGCAAGCCAAGAUGAUGAGGAGCUCCAGGCAAAGAGCUAUGUCCAUGCAUCUUCUUUGCUGCCAAAAAUCUGUCAAGAUGAUGGUGUAGAGGCGACAAUGCUGGAGGCCCAAAAGACAGAGUUAUGUCAGCAGCACAAAGCUGGGUGAAAGGCAUCCUGAAGAGGUGCACAGUUUCUCGGGAGGCCAAGGAUCUGCUGUGCCUCCUGCUAAACACCUGCCUCUUUUCGCCUUUUGCCUAACUUGUUUCCUUCCUUCCUUCCUGAAAUCCUUUGUUCCUUCCUGGUGCAGUGUGUCCUGGAGAGGCGCACAGUUUCUCAGGAGGCCAAGGAGCUACUGUCGCUUCUGCUCACCACCCUUCUCUUGACCUUUGUGCCUUCCUUCCUUAUAGCAAGUACACUGACACAUGUUAGCACAGACUGGACAAGCUGCUUCUCCAGUGCUUUAGGAUCAUGCUUCAUCAAUGGACAAAAGACUUGCAGAUGGGAGCAGGAGGGGAGGAACUGUCAACUUGAGGGAGCUUCUGCUCAGAUGGCAGUUUAUGCCAUCUCCCUCCAUUCUCUUUGGGGGCAUCUGGACUGUGUGAGAGGGGGCUGAUGGUGAAACCACAUCUGCUUUGUGGAGCUAAGGGGGCAAUUUAGUACUUGCUGCCUUACUCCUCCAACCUCUUUCUUGCCACCUUUCACCUCCAGACGCUUUAGGCACCUCCAGAUUUGCCUCCAAAUAGAGAGAGCAGGUAAAAGGCACUUGCAUUGGCUCCUUUUAACAAAAAAAGACUUAGCUCAUGCCUCCUGACUUUGCCCAUCUAAUCCAAGCAUACGCAUCAAGGCUUGCAGGCUAUCCCCAGGCAGAGGAGCUCAGCAAGAAAUAACUGACCAGAAACUGGGUCCAGAAACAAGAAUACCAACCCAAGAAGAAAAGGACGAAGAGGGAUGGCAGGAGACACUAAUAAUGCAGGAGGCUGCAGCAGACCAGAAAGCCCAGAGCAACACGCUAGUGUUUGAGGGAUGGUGUGGAGUGGUGUGGAGUCCUUCAGUCUGCUGAUGUGCUGUGUACAAUGGGGUACCUUUAAAAAAAGUAAGAGGAAACAGAUUUUUUUUUCCUGGUCCCAUAGCUAUGACAUUAUUGUAUUGCACUAAGUUAUGGUUUGCAUAUUGCACUGUAUGUACACUGUUCUGUAUUCCCCCGUGUCUGUGAAGUUUGUUCAGCCCUCCCUUCGGCCCUUCCCACCGGCAGGAUCUCCUUGGUUACCAUUCAGUUUUUCCCCUCCCCUCGCCCUGGGUUAAAAAUUCCUCCACCAUCUUCUCUUUCUCUCUAUCUUCCCUUGGAAUCCAUUCGGGAAUAAACUGCUUGACCCUAUCCUGGAAAAGGGAACCUCCUUUCUCUUCUGCCUUGUCCAUGUGGGUUCCACAUUCUCCCCUGGUUUGGAGCUAGCCAGAAGGACCAGAGUGAAGGAAGAACCCACACGACACCACUGUCAUAAUCAAAAGCUUUGUUUUACUGAUGUGAGCCGUAUGACUGAUGUGUUAUGGUAGACGUUUGCAGGUUCUUCCAAAGGGAUGGAUAGGGCUGGUGAGGUGGCAGGGGGAAACUGUGCGUAAGGAAGGGAUGGGAUUGUAUGAUACUUGCAGUUGGCAAGGAAACACACAAGAGUCUCUGGGAAGACAUGAAGGUGAAAGAAAAUGAAUACAUAGUGUUGUGGGGACUGUGCUGUGAACCAUCCAUCCAGAAUGAUGAAUUGAUGCAUUUUUCCACUAGAAAUUAAGGAGUAUGUCAAGAACCACCUGCACUUCUCUCUAUGAGUGUUUCAGCUUCCUAGGCACAAAUUGUGAACAUAUACAGCUGACAGAAAUGGUCCGGGAAAUUCCUGAAACAUGCUGAAAGUAACCUUUUGGAGCAGAUACUAAGGGAAACAGGUAGUAGAGGUUUGAUGUUCCCAAAUGUGUUGCUUGCAAACAGAGAGGGCAAAGUGUAGGUUGGUGGCUGUCUUGGUCACAGUGACUAUAAAAUAUUUAAGUUUCAAAUUGUUGGCUCUAGGAUAAAAACCUCCAACAAAACUUUUGCCCUGGAUAUGGGAAGAGCAGACUCUGGACUGGUUAAGGAAUGACUUUGAAACGGUCAAUGGAGUCUGCUUUUGAAGGUGUUGAAUGGAGAUUGGUGAUAACCAGGGGUCUGUGUUAGGACCAGUACUAUUUAAUAACUGCUUUAAUAACAUAUAUGGUGGUUUCCAGUGCAGCUGCAAGAAUUUUGCAGAUGACAGGAAGCUGAGUGACAAAAUCCAGAAGAGGGCUCACAGAAAAUCCAUCAAAACCGAGUGCAAGGCCAUGCAUCUCAGUCUACAAUUUCCUCAAUAGGGUAAAUGGCUGAAGAGUUGUUGAUCUCCUCUCUCAGGUGACCAGAAAUAGGACACAAAGAAAUGGAAUGAAGCUGGAAGGUGAUGUUCAAGGCCUUGGAAAGAAUUCUUCACUGACAAAGUGGUUGGUUGGAACAGGCUCUCCAAUGAAGGGGAUACAGCACAAAAUGAGAGUUCCAUUAGUCAUAUAGCUUGUUUUGACAGUCUUGAAAGGAUUAAGGAAUUUGAUUUGAUGAUCUUUGUGGGUACCUUUCACCUUGAGAUAUUAUACAAUUCUGUGAUAUCAUGUACUUUUACAAACAUGAAAAUAGUCUUAAUAGAGACAUGUUUGCAGCACGAUCUUGUAACAUUAAUGUUAUUGUGAGUUAUACUGCUAAUGCCAGGAGAACAAGUCUGAGGAAAAUCUUAUAAUAGUCAUGAAUCUUUAAAUCUUUAGAAAUAGUUUACCAUCUGUUCACAGAAAUUCAUUUCUUACAAUGAUGGGUUAUGAAGAUCUAUGUACCUUGAAAAACAGCAUAGUUCAGGAAAAUUUAAUCACCUAUUCUAAAUGCUUGUUGGGUUUUUUUUGAAUACAGAUGUAGUUCUGGUCACCUGAUCAUAAAAAAAUAAUUAAGGGUAACAGUAAAAGAUAUGACUAUGAUUAAAAGAGGGGGAAAAUUACAAUAAAGGAGGCUUCUGAUUAGAAAGGAUCUAAUGAGAUUGGAACAUUUAUGCAGGGAAAUCAAAAGAAGGAAUAAAAGAAUGAAUAUAAGCAAAGUGUAGAAAUUAUAGAUAAUACAAAGAUGUUACCAUACCUGAGAUACAAUAAAAUUAAAUUAAUGGGGUUCUUCUUAAUCAAUGAAAGGAAAUAUGGUCUUCUCUCAUUAACAAUAAUAAAUAAUAUUAUGCACAUAAUAAUAAGUACAGUAAU